rnacentral:rRNA from 1 species
UACGUAGGGGGCAAGCGUUGUCCGGAAUCAUUGGGCGUAAAGCGCGUGUAGGCGGUUCGGUAAGUCGGCUGUGAAAGUCCAGGGCUCAACCCUGGGAUGCCGGUCGAUACUGCCGGACUAGAGUUCGGAAGAGGCGAGUGGAAUUCCUGGUGUAGCGGUGAAAUGCGCAGAUAUCAGGAAGAACACCUCUGGCGAAGGCAGCUCUCUGGGACGGUACUGACGCUGAGACGCGAAAGCGUGGGGAGCGAACAGG